GAUGAACGCUAGCGGCAGGCCUAAUACAUGCAAGUCGAGGGGUAGAGAGAGCUUGCUCUCUUGAGACCGGCGCACGGGUGCGUAACGCGUAUGCAACCUACCUCUAUCUGGGGGAUAGCCCGAAGAAAUUCGGAUUACCACCGAAUAAAAUCACAGAACGGCAUCGUUCAAUGAUCAAAUAUUUAUAGGAUGGAGAUGGGCAUGCGUGUCAUUAGUUAGUUGGCGGGGUAACGGCCCACCAAGACCGCGAUGACUAGGGGAUCUGAGGGGAUGGCCCCCCACACUGGUACUGGGACACGUACCAGACUCCUACGGGGGGCAGCAGUAAGGAAUAUUGGUCAAUGGAGGCAACUCUGAACCAGCCAUGCCGCGUGCAGGAAGACAGCCCUCUGGGUCGUAAACUGCUUUUAUUCGGGUAUAAACCUGCUUACGUGUAAGUAGCUGAAUGUACCGAAGGAAUAAGGAUCGGCUAACUCCGUGCCAGCAGCCGCCGUAACAC
rnacentral:rRNA from 1 species